rnacentral:rRNA from 1 species
UACGUAGGGUGCAAGCGUUAAUCGGAAUUACUGGGCGUAAAGCGUGCGCAGGCGGUUAUAUAAGUCAGAUGUGAAAUCCCCGGGCUUAACCUGGGAACUGCAUUUGAGACUGUAUGGCUAGAGUGUGUCAGAGGGGGGUAGAAUUCCACGUGUAGCAGUGAAAUGCGUAGAGAUGUGGAGGAAUACCGAUGGCGAAGGCAGCCCCCUGGGAUAACACUGACGCUCAUGCACGAAAGCGUGGGGAGCAAACAGG